CUCCCUUACAAAAUUGGGCUGAACUAUGGACCGUUGAUGUGAUUAUUGAUGUAGAUGUUUUAUGAAGCUUUUCCAGUCGGAGAUAUCGUUACCUUUAAACACGUAAGGUAUCAAAGAAUGUCCAUCUUUUUCUAACUUGUUCUGUCUUAACAGAUAUCAAAAUUACAGUAGUGAACAUAUACAAGGAUUUCUAUACAAAUCCUUGACAUAAUAUUAUCAGAGACAUGUAUUAUAUGUCUCUGACAUUAUAAAUUAUAAAUAAAAAAAUAAAAGGUUUAUCAUAACAAAUUCAACAAAUGGACAUAAAUUGCUGUAUUUGCGCUUCAAAACUACUCUACAGUACAGACUAAUCCAAAUAAUUUUGACGCGUAGAACAGGUUGGGGACAACCCACCAAAUGGGGAACUGUUCCCCAAAUGAGUAACAAUCCCUCAUUUGAGUAAUCAUUUUGUAGUGCUAAGAAACAAAACUUUCUUAACUGAGUCUUUUUUCUUAAAAUGGCACAUAUUCAUGAAAAAUGCAGCAACUUUUCCAAAAGAUGAUUAUCCUUCAUUGUCCUUAUCUUGAUUUACUGAGAAGAUACAAGCCUAUGAAAAAUCAGAAAAUUUGACUAUUUUCUAGGCUUCUAACUUUUUUAAAACCCAUAAUAAAAAUAUAGUUCUUUGGGAGAAGUUGUUCCAUUUUCUAUAAAUUUGUGCCAUUUUACCUUAAAAGACCCAUAUUUAGAAAAUUUAUUUUUAGCAUUAUGAAAUGAUUACUCAAAUGAGGGAUUGUUACUCAUUUGGGGAAUAGUUCCCCAUUUGGGGGGUUGUCCCCAACCUGUAGAAUGUAUAAUAUUAAUUUUUCUGUGACACCUUCCUAUAGCUAUGACCCAGGAACAUUUAUAUAUUUGACAGGUCUUGACCAGUUGACACUACCUAAUUGCUAGUCCAAAUAAUAAUGAUGUCUGCCAAGGCUAUUUUUUUAAUUUUUUUCUACAUCAAGUAAUUAAAUCACUCAUAUUUUGGUCAUUUUUCAAAUAUUUUACAUGACAAAAUAUGUCUACUGUAUGAUAAAACUUGUAUUUAUUAACGAUGAGAAUAUUAUGUGGUUAAUCUAUUUGUUAUCCAGUCAUUCCGUCCCCAAACCUAUCCAGCGCCAAAUCGAUCCGUCCAAAGUCAAUCCGUCCAAAGUCAAUCCAGCCCACGUUGAUACGGCCCAAAGUCAAUCUGGCCCCACAAUAAAAUAUGAAUAAACUAUAUGGCUAAGUAUUCAGUAUAGUGUUGUUAGUGUGUGACAACAUGUAUGAUUUUAAAAGUAGCUGUUUCAAUCAUAAUAACAUGAUUUUCCGAAAGGAGAAUGAUUCUUGUUUAGGGUUUUACAUAUAAAAAGAUAGUUUUUUAGUCAGAAAAUAUAAAAUUAGACAUAAAUAGCAUGUUGGACAGAGGUUAUGUUGGACGUAACAGGACAUUGAAAAAUGAAUAUUUUCCUUUUAUAUGAAGGCUUUGUUAAUAAAUAUAUUAAUUUUUCUCUGACAGUUCAUAAGAUCUUCAAUUAAAGUAUAUCAUUUUGUUAAAUUUUUCAAAAACUAACUUAUAAGUUUGAAAAAUCUUAAAAUAUGUCGGACAAACGGGGACAUUUUUGGAUGAGAAUUUGUUCCAUUUGCAUCAUUCAAAGUCAAAAACAAAAUCAAAAGUAUGCUGUUUAUACUAAUAUCUACAGCUGGUGUUCCUCAGCAAGAGGUAAAAUGGUUCAUUAUUAAAUAAAUGGAUAAAACAAAACCAUAAAAAAACUGUUGGAUGAACAGUGACAGAAUUCAUUUGUUGUAGGACAAACAUAGGACAGAUUAUAUUCCCUGUCGGACAAAGAUAGGACAGAAUUCAUUAUUUUACUGAUUCUAAUGGCAAUUUAAAAAUGGGCACCUCUUAAGAAGAGUUGAGGAAGGGUCUGAGAACUAUUUUUAAAUUUAUGUGGACUUGUUAGUUGUUAACAAGUUUCUUUUUACUUUUAAAAAGCUGUUACGUCCGACAUUAGAGAUUUUGUCCUAAGGUUCGUCCAACAGAACAUUAUCGGACUCUUGUUACGUCCUAAUUUUCAAAAUUAUGUCAAAUUUAGACUGUCAACAGUUUAAAACCUCUUUAUUUUUCAUAUAUAUACGGUAGUAUUUAAGGUUAAGUUAUUGUCAAAGUGGAAGCAAAUUGAUUCCGUGACUUGUGGUAGCCAUUGUAGAGAAUAUCUUGGAUGUUAGACGUAACAUUAAUUCGGAUGUAACUUCCAUCUCUUGGUUGGACAGAAAGAGCGUUCACCCCUUCGAUGUCGUUGACCUUGAGUAAAAAGGAACAGUUGACAGCAAUACUGUAUGUGCAUUGCAAUUGUCGUAAAAUUUGUUAUCAUAAACAUUAAAAAAAACUUAAACUGAGUUGGCAACUUGCAAAUGAAAAUUGAAAUUUUCGCCCGUAACGGUUGGACAGAUUUUUCAAGAGUAAACUUUAAUGACAAUUCCUGAAAAAAAUAAAACUUUCUGCUGUAACUUCAUGAUGAAUUAUCACAUUUUAGUUAAUAAGCUCAAGCCUCAAGAUAUUUUGUGCAUUUUUUUAAUUGCCCUCUAUUGUUAACAUAACUUAUAUUUCAUUUUCACUUAGGAAGAAGACAGAAAAUGUUAGUCCGACAAUGUGACCAUUUAAAAUUGUUUUUAAUCCUUAUUUUUCGAAGAUUUUUCAUGUUUUAAUGCCCUAAACCUUGACAAACUACUUGUAUUACCUGAAAAUCCUUUUUACCUAGUUGACAUUCAUAAAAAAAGGUUUAUAAAACAAUUUUGAUUUUGGAUCAUUCGACCAUGUCACAAAAUAAGCAUGCAAAAAAUAGGGAAUUCAACACUUCAUUUGUAAAAUACUUUAUUCAACAAUAAACUUUUCAUAUGAGACUGUUUAUAUUAUCUCUUCAUCAUACAGUGAAUUGAUUAGCUACCUGCAUUAAAACUCAAAAUAAUUUAAAAUAUGAAAAAAAUGCAUUUUUCUGGGACACCCAUUGAAACAGCACUUUACUGAAUACUUAGCCAUAUUUUAUUUUAUUUUUUGUACUAGUAAUUAUAUUUUCAAAAAUCAAGAAAUUAAUAGUCAUGUAAUAAGAUGGUACACUAAAUUACUUAUGUAUUGCAAAAAAGGGCCAAUCAAUUCUUGUUAUUCAUAUAAAUAGAACAACUUUGUUGCAGUGAGUUUGUGAAUUCGAGUAAAAAAUCACUUAAUGAUCUACUUGAUUCCUUACCAACACUUAUUAAUGUGGUAUAAAAUUCGACACCACCUUCAGUAGGUCUUGCUUUGACUUUGUUAACAUAGUUAUUUAUAUACAUAUACACAAUAAAAUACUAACUACUACUGAUUAAUUUUUAUGUCUGUUGAUUGUACUUGAUUCUGUUAUAUAUCAUGUAUUUUUUGGGCGAGUUUUAUGGAAAUUUGGCGCUCAAUGUUGUGAGCGUUACGCCAUAGAUUGUGUGACGUCAACGUGGGUAAUUUGAUAGCAGGUCAGUAGUCCCAUUCCUUGAAAAUGUGGCAGUCAAGUGAUGCAUUUAAUGAAAUGAGUGUAAAAUGAUCGGCAUAAAUAGAGACAAAAUCGUUAAUGAAUUAAAUAAAUUUAAUUUACAACACAUGGAUAAUCUACAGAAUUCAAUAUUUCACAAGGAGCAAUCAUGGAACUAAGGAAAACUGCGUGAUUUCCCCGGGAUAAUGGGUUAGCAACGUCCAGGAUAUGGGUUAGCAACACCAGGGGCUAUGGGUUUUGUGUAACGACGUGUGUUAACCAAUCAAAAUCCUAGAUAUAUACUAAGCCGGGGAUAAUAUAAGUUAUCUACGUUCAUAUCCGUAGAUAUGGAUAUUUUAACACCCUGAAGUACCCCAGUACACCAUGAGGCGUAGCUGAAGGGUGUAUAGGGUACUGAAGGGUGUUAAAAUACCCAUAUCUAAGGAUAUGAAUGUAGAUAACGAAUUUAUCCCCGGUCUUAGUCCAAAUCAGUCGAGUUUUAUUGAAAUUCGGGUAAAAGUGUAACGUGAAAACAACGUUUUUUUCAUCAUCUAAAAAAGUUUUAUUAAAAUAUGGAAAUUUUACAUAUUUCAAAUUUGGCGCUCAAUGUUGUGAGAGUUACAUCAUAGAUGGUGUGACGUAAUCGUGGGUCAUUUGCAUUGCUAGGACAGUAGUCCUAUUCCUUGAAAAUGUGGCAGUCAAGUGAUGCAUUGAAUGAAAUGAGUGUAAAUAAUCUGCAUAAUAGGACAAAAUCGUUAAUGAAUCAAAUAUUUUUAAAAUUACAAACAUCAUGGUAAAUCUACAGAAUUCAAUAUUUUACAAGGAGCAAUCAUGGAACUUAGGAAAACUUGCGUGAAGUUCCCCGGGAUAAUGGUUAGCAACGUCCGGGGAUAUGGGUUAGCAACAGCCAGGGGCUAUAGGUUUUGUAACGACGUGCGUUAACCAAUCAAAGUCCUAGAUAUAUUAUAACUUAGCCGGGGUUAAAUAUUUUUAUUGGGGCUGGAUCGACUUUAAAUAUGGGCCGGAUCGAUGUUGGGCCGGAUCGAUGUUGGGCCGGAUCGACAUGAAAGCAUUUAUUUAACAAUUCCGGUAGUUUUUCAGUCAGACGCUUCUGAAAUCCAUAAAUUUCGCUAAGUCUUGUAAAGUCAGAAAUUUUAUUAACUUUAUACUGAAAAGUCUUAUAUUCAUUUUCUGUUAGAUAUACUAUUCCCAGUUUGACGUCAUAAAGUAGGAAGGCAUCACAGAAAAAAAAUUAAAUUAACCUUUCAAGACAUCAUAAUAAUUAUGUGCAUUUAGUACAGACUCACCUGUACAUGUGUAGUUGGAAAAGUGUUGAGGCCUGGGAUCCACUAGAUAUAUAAAAGUUAAAUGAAUUUUGUGUUUCAGAAAGAUGAAAUCUUUUUUGGAUUUUGAUGGGCAUUUUUGUUUUCCUUUCUGCAAAAGGUGUAAAAAUAAACAAACACCCGAUUUGCAUUUGAUACUGUUCACUCAGUUAAAUCGUUUAACUCACCUAUAGUUGUGUUGAUAUCUAUUGUCUUAUCAUUGCCUAGGUCAAUCAUGGAUAAUCAAAGCAAUACAAGAGAGGAAGCAUCUCAAAGAAGUACAUGUAUCAUACCUUAGAAAAAAAAAACAAGUUUGUUAUCAUCUGAUUUGCUCUUAAUCUUCUAAUUUAUCUAUUUGUAAACCUAACUUUAUGAGUGUUUAUGCAUGUACACGUACGUGUGUAACUUUGCAGCUAAGUUAAUUGCCAUGCUUGUAUAGUCUUGGUUAAAAGGCAAUUCAUGUUUCAGUAUUUUUUCAACUUUAAACAGUAUCAGUUUCUCCAUGAAAAGCAGAAUGACCAGACAAUAUUUGAAAUUGAACAGAGCAAUUUAAUAAUGAAAGUUAUUACUAAUCAUCAUAAUUUUAUAAAUGUUUCAAUUUUUUUUAAAUUUAUUUUGACAAAUAAACUGAGGUUUCGUAUGUUACAGGUUGUCUAUCCAGAACAGAGGAAUAAAUGAAGUGAAAAGAAUUGUUUACUAGUAUAAGUUUCUGUAACAAUUUAAAAAGGAAUGGCUUCACGAGGUGCUCAAGAAAAUACAAAAUUACGUCAAAAUUUAGAAGAACAGCUUGAUAGAUUAGUU
rnacentral:lncRNA from 1 species